UUGAAGCACAACUAACUAAAAACGCACACAAUGUAUCGCAAGAUUUGUAGAGCCCUUAAUGACAAGUGUAAAUGCGUCUCCGUCAUUUUCUCGUAUCUAAGAAAUAUUCAUACAAAAAGACACUACCAACAUAAGGAAAUAAAACGUGAAAACUUCAACGCCAUCUUGUUGUUAUCUAUGAUCCGCUCCUUACAUUGUAUGUCUAUGCUCCUUACACUAUUGCGUAGAUAUUAAAACAUUAAUUUGACAUUGUAUUGAAUUCAGUGUAUCCCUUUCAUUUUAAGAACUAAUAAAAGAGACGUGUUUAUUGAAUCCCGUUUUGAUUAUGCACAUGGUGAUUUUACCGCUAGAGAAUUACGUCCACCAGCACACAUGCAAAACAAAGUUCGAAAUGGCUAUAAUAGUUUGAUGUGUUAACUUAGUUUGUAAGUUUAAUAUUAAUUUCAGACUUUAAAUAACGUUUUGCUUUUAUAAAGCCGUGUGAUUAAUUGUAAAUAUGAAUCUAUGUACAGUGUCCUGAGUGUUUGAUCUUGGUUCCGAAUUUAAAAUAAAGUUUGCAAGAACCUACAAAAAGACCUUGACGUGAACUUAAAACUAAAUACAUGAAAAUUAUUGUAAAAGCGGAUUAAAAGUUUAAGAUGAUUACGGAACAGAAAAUGGUUAUAAAAGCAAUACAUCCAAAGUUAAACAAUAAGUGCGAGAACUUGAAUGAUUUGUCCCUAGACUGCGCCUUUUGAAUUGACAUAGACAAAUCAAUAUAAAAUAUCAUAACAGCAAAAGUUACUAGCUUCAAAUACCUUGUCGCAGCUCAACUCUCCAUCCUGAAAUAUUUAAUCUGAGCAAAAACAUUGAGAAUCUGAUUUGUGUUAACAACAAUGAGCUGACAACAUCCUCUCCCAACACACUAACAACUUUGAGACAGCAACGCCUCUCCCCCAUACAAAAGUCAUAUGUGGAGUCCUAUAUGGAAAAACAAAUAAAAUGAGCCUGCCAACCUUUAAUUUAUGAAUCAUCAUUAGUAUCCAAUCGAGUUUCAAAUGAGGUAAAAUACUACAAAACCGCUGAUGCAGGGUAACAGGAUUACGGGCUGGAAAAAAUGCACCAAUCCAUUGUGAAUAAAAACACCUACAGAAGACUAAGAAGGUAUAGGCUGCCCUUGUUCCAUCAAACCUGUUUGGAAGUUGUAGUCACGUGACUUGUUAUGCUUUAAGUACCGCUACGAAUCAACCUGCACUAUCUUAUGACUAAAAAAUGUAGAGAAUGAAGAUCCUAGUACUUCAAGUUAAGCUUUAAAUACAUAGAGUAUGUAUCAACCUGCAAUUAUGAAGCAAAUUGUGACACUGACAGUAAGACCCAGAAGAUGAUGGCCCCACUUGCCCCAGUAUAUAAGUCUUGGUAAAUAGCUUAAGGGAGACCUUAGGUCCUCUCUUUCUUUAAAGCGACAUCGAAGUGACAAAUAAAUGUUACCAUUAUUGCUGCAGCUAAACAAGCCAUGCUACUAUUUCUAUUGAUAUAAAUGUCGCUAUUACAGAUUUUGUCGUGCUAGUUCAUUAAUUUCACUUAAGAAUAUUAAGUAGGAAUAAGUGGAAGAUAAAACAUAUUAAGAUGUGCUAGAUAAAUACAUCUCUCUUUUAAAUUACAAACAAAACUCUUCGUAACCAAAGAAGCAUGAUUUUA